rnacentral:tRNA from 1 species
GUUCCAGUGGCGCAAUCGAUUAGCGCACGGUACUUAUACUUCUGUAUGCUAAGCUAUGCCGGGGUUGUAAGUUCGAGCCUCAUCUGGAACA